UUGAACGCUGGCGGCAUGCCUUACGCAUGCAAGUCGAACGGUAACAGGUCUUCGGAUGCUGACGAGUGGCGAACGGGUGAGUAAUACAUCGGAACGUGCCCAGACGUGGGGGAUAACGAGGCGAAAGCUUUGCUAAUACCGCAUACGAUCUAAGGAUGAAAGCAGGGGACCGCAAGGCCUUGCGCGUUUGGAGCGGCCGAUGGCAGAUUAGGUAGUUGGUGGGAUAAAAGCUUACCAAGCCGACGAUCUGUAGCUGGUCUGAGAGGACGACCAGCCACACUGGGACUGAGACACGGCCCAGACUCCUACGGGAGGCAGCAGUGGGGAAUUUUGGACAAUGGGCGAAAGCCUGAUCCAGCAAUGCCGCGUGCAGGAUGAAGGCCUUCGGGUUGUAAACUGCUUUUGUACGGAACGAAAAGGCUCUGGCUAAUACCUGGGGCACAUGACGGUACCGUAAGAAUAAGCACCGGCUAACUACGUG
rnacentral:rRNA from 1 species